rnacentral:rRNA from 1 species
CUACGGGACGCACCAGUAAGGAAUAUUGCGCAAUAGAGGCAACUCUGACGCAGCCAUGCCGCGUGCAGGAAGAAGGCCUUAUGGGUCGUAAACUGCUUUUAUUUAGGAAUAAACCCCCGAACGUGUUCGGGGCUGAAGGUACUAAACGAAUAAGCACCGGCUAACUCCGUGCCAGCAGCCGCGGUAAUACGGAGGGUGCAAGCGUUAUCCGGGUUUAUUGGGUUUAAAGGGUGCGCAGGCGGGCUAUUAAGUCAGUGGUGAAAUCCCGGGGCUCAACUCCGGAACUGCCAUUGAUACUGAUAGUAUUGAGUUUGGUUGAAGUGGGCGGAAUGUAGCAUGUAGCGGUGAAAUGCAUAGAUAUGCUACAGAACACCAAUCGCGAAGGCAGCUCACUAAGCCAAAACUGACGCUCAUGCACGAAAGCGUGGGGAUCAAACAGGAUUAGAUACCCUAGUAGUC